GAUGAACGCUGGCGGCGUGCCUAAUACAUGCAAGUAGAACGCUGAAGCUUGGUGCUUGCACCGAGCGGAUGAGUUGCGAACGGGUGAGUAACGCGUAGGUAACCUGUCUGGUAGCGGGGGAUAACUAUUGGAAACGAUAGCUAAUACCGCAUAACAGUAGAUGUUGCAUGACAUUUGCUUGAAAGGGGCAAUUGCUCCACUACCAGAUGGACCUGCGUUGUAUUAGCUAGUUGGUGAGGUAACGGCUCACCAAGGCGACGAUACAUAGCCGACCUGAGAGGGUGAUCGGCCACACUGGGACUGAGACACGGCCCAGACUCCUACGGGAGGCAGCAGUAGGGAAUCUUCGGCAAUGGGGGCAACCCUGACCGAGCAACGCCGCGUGAGUGAAGAAGGUUUUCGGAUCGUAAAGCUCUGUUGUAAGAGAAGAACGAGUGUGAGAGUGGAAAGUUCACACUGUGACGGUAACUUACCAGAAAGGGACGGCUAACUACGUGCCAGCAGCCGCGGUAAUACGUAGGUCCCGAGCGUUAUCCGGAUUUAUUGGGCGUAAAGCGAGCGCAGGCGGUUAGAUAAGUCUGAAGUUAAAGGCUGUGGCUUAACCAUAGUACGCUUUGGAAACUGUUUAACUUGAGUGCAGAAGGGGAGAGUGGAAUUCCAUGUGUAGCGGUGAAAUGCGUAGAUAUAUGGAGGAACACCGGUGGCGAAAGCGGCUCUCUGGUCCGUAACUGACGCUGAGGCUCGAAAGCGUGGGGAGCAAACAGG
rnacentral:rRNA from 1 species